rnacentral:rRNA from 1 species
CCUACGGGGCGCUGCAGUGGGGAAUAUUGGACAAUGGGCGAAAGCCUGAUCCAGCCAUGCCGCGUGUGUGAAGAAGGCCUUCGGGUUGUAAAGCACUUUCAGUGGGGAAGAAAGCCUUGGGGCUAAUACCCUCGAGGAAGGACAUCACCCACAGAAGAAGCACCGGCUAACUCCGUGCCAGCAGCCGCGGUAAUACGGAGGGUGCGAGCGUUAAUCGGAAUUACUGGGCGUAAAGCGCGCGUAGGCGGUCUGAUAAGCCGGUUGUGAAAGCCCCGGGCUCAACCUGGGAACGGCAUCCGGAACUGUCAGGCUAGAGUGCAGGAGAGGAAGGUAGAAUUCCCGGUGUAGCGGUGAAAUGCGUAGAGAUCGGGAGGAAUACCAGAGGCGAAGGCGGCCUUCUGGACUGACACUGACGCUGAGGUGCGAAAGCGUGGGUAGCAAACAGGAUUAGAUACCCCGGUAGUC